UAGUAUCUGAUGUAAGGUGGUUGUUAACAUGGCCUUAACACAAUAGAGCAUCUUCGUAUCUCAUGUAGGGUGGUUGUCAACAUGGCCUUAAGGUGGUUGUGAACAUGGCCUUAACACAAUAGAGCAUCUUCGUAUCUGAUGUAAGGUGGUUGUUAACAUGGCCUGAACACAACAAUGUCUCAAAUAUGAGUGAGUAAGUGUGUAUGGGUUCAUGCCAAUUUACUUAAUUUAGCAAUAUAACAUCAGCAACUAACAAAAACUAGCAAUUAGUAAUAUCAUGGCGCAGAACACUACAAAUAGGCUUCAAACAUUGCACCCAUGUGGUCAGCAAACACUUCAGCCAUUGGGCUGUCUUCAUAUGUGACUUUACAUGGUUGUGCACAUGGCCUUAACUUAAACACUAGUGUGUCUUUAUAUCUGAUGUCAGGUGAUUGUCAAUAUUCAAGUUAUUAGGCACUUUGACAUGCGGUUGUUAAUUAUCAUAUCUUGGUACAAUGAAUGUAACUGAAGGUAUCAUCAAGGACUGUACAUCCACAAAUACUUUGUCAAGUAUACAAGUUUGUAUAUGCUAUGUUACACUGUUGUUUCCUCUGUCAAAUGUGGAAUUGUCCCUCAAUGUAAUAAAAGAUGGAGGUAACGUACUGUACA